rnacentral:tRNA from 1 species
GCCGAAAUAGCUCAGUUGGGAGGGCGUUAGACUGAAGAUCUAAAGGUCUUUGGUUCGAUCCCGGGUUUCGGCA